rnacentral:rRNA from 1 species
UCAUCUUCGGGGGUAGAGCACUGUUUCGGCUAGGGGGUCAUCCCGACUUACCAACCCGAUGCAAACUGCGAAUACCGAAGAAUGUUAUCACGGGAGACACACGGCGGGUGCUAACGUCCGUCGUGAAGAGGGAAACAACCCAGACCGCCAGCUAAGGUCCCAAAGUCAUGGUUAAGUGGGAAACGAUGUGGGAAGGCACAGACAGCCAGGAUGUUGGCUUAGAAGCAGCCAUCAUUUAAAGAAAGCGUAAUAGCUCACUGGUCGAGUCGGCCUGCGCGGAAGAUGUAACGGGGCUAAACCAUGCACCGAAGCUGCGGCAGCGACACUAUGUGUUGUUGGGUAGGGGAGCGUUCUGUAAGCCGUUGAAGGUGUA